GUUCUUUCAGACGCAGCCAGAUGGAAUCCGUGGCAGAGGGCCCCGUCCCGGGUGAGGGGGGUCCCCCGAGAAGGAACUAAAGCCAGAUACUAGCGGUCAAGGCGGUCCGCUCGUAUUACGCCGAGACCCCCCUCAGCAACGGGGCCGCAGACCCCCGCUUCGUCACUCUCGUGGGAAUUCGGGAAGCAG